AACUGAAUCGAAGUCGGACGCUUAACCCGCCGAGCCACCCAGGCGCCUCUCACAUCAGAGCUUUUGUCGCCAGCCCCCAGAGUAGGGCCGAGGAGAGGAGAGGGAAAGUACAUCUCCUGUAAGAUUAUCUCCUAAAGCUGCCGGCCGGCCAGCUGCCAUUUAUUUGAUUUCCUGCGUCUUUAACUGUGGAAUUCACGAGAAAUUCUCAUUUGCUUUCCUCCAGUAUAUUUUUCUUCCAGUACAGCUCCCAUUUUACCGCCUUAACCGGUUACAUUAUCUAGCUCCCCCCACCCUGAGAAUGUCCCACACGAGGUAAUAAUACAAGGUGCCCCACAUGAUGCCAGCAGGUAGGACAUCUACCUCCCGAGGGAGGUGUGUGGGCAGAACUUGCGACAGCUCACGGGCUUAUUGCUGUUGUUAUUGUUGCAAACGUGGAGGAGGUCCGAGCAGGAGGAAGUACUCUGGGGAGAUGUAGCAACUUUCUCUCCCUCUCUUCCUCAGCCUGGAAAACCCAGGCAGGUGGUGGGGACAGCAGCCGAGCACAGACCACAUUCCUGCCUCAGAUAAGGUCUGUGGAGGUGAAUUCCCAGGCUGCAGAGGUGACUCCUGAGUCAUCGCAGCUGAGAGCCAAGCGACUUGCCCCAAGCCAUUGCUCAACGCCGCUGGGGACAGUGUCUCAUGCCCACCGCGUGUCAUCCACCGUGGCAGGCUGCAGUUUCAAUUUGAUGCACGAGGGCAAACGGGAUCCCCGGUGCCGAGAGCCGAGUCUGGCACGCGUGUUCGGAAUGGCUGACUUUGAAGAGACUGAGUGAGGGAUGCUUUGAAGGCCAUUCCGCAGUAGGAAGGAGAAAGUGCUCUGGGGGCCACCGAGCCGUAGAGAGUUCGGACGGCAGGAAUGGGGAGCAGCACCCGGGGCAGGAUCCUGGAGCCCCAGCAACAGAGCCCAGCUCCAGCAGGUACCCAACCCUUCCAGGGAAAUUAAGACGGAUUCUUCAGCCAGGCAUGAGAAGCAGAUGUACCUGGUGAAGUGUUUCCUAGCUCUGUAGCAUCCCUUCGGUCUAGUUUAAACAAUAAAGAACAAAUAAGCCCAAGAAAGUGACUUGGCUGGGAGGUCCAUACUAGCUGCCUUAACCCUCUACGGGAGCUUUAGGACCUACUAUUCAUUGGUGAGGACAGAUGAUUCACCUCUACCAACGACAUGCAGGUGUGUCCCGGGGGCAGACUCCAUCUCUGAAGACAGAAAGAGCCAAGCACCCCGCAUAUGGAAAAAGCAGGCCAGGAAGCCAGUUGCCAGCCUAACCCAGAGGCGGUACUAGAAGGGCCCCGACACCCCCGAUGACCCAAUCCUCCCAGGCCACCGGGCUAAUUAUAAGAAAGCCUAGCAGAGAGUCCGUUGCGAAAGGAGGUUCUCCAUGAAUGGCCUGAGUAAUGGGUAAAUGGAGCCUGAUAGAGAAACAGAGAUAGUGUGCUCUUCUGACUCCUCAGUACCAUUUGAAGAUGAACUCCAAGGACGGGAAGGCCACUGGACCUAUGAGAUCACAGACCUUGAACGCAGAAAGGUGCACAGAUGGAAUCUCAGAGCAGCCUCCAAGAUGCUCACUGAAGGAGAGCCGAGUUGGAGGAGAGAUGAACUGAGGAACCAUCGGGAAACAAAGAAAGGUGGCUGAGAAUCCCCAGGGCCAUGAAAAUGUGUUUGAGAAGCCCGACCAUCAUCUCCAUCCUAAAUCACGCUCUGAAAUUCCAUGGUUCCUUGAAUACAAAAGUGGUAAUGCAACCCAAACCAACUGCCAGGAACGACAAUGGAGGCCAGAUGAGCCAGCCUGAGAAUGCCAAUGCAGAGAACAUAUGAUGGACCCGAAAAAGCAAAGGCAGUGUUCUCCGGAAGCUGAGAAUGUGUAAAUCAAGGGAUGGGGGAGACACCAAUUCAAACAGAACAGUAUGUAAUUGGUAGGGAUGGGUAUUUCAUCUUGACCUCUCUUCUAGCUUUUGAUCUCUGUACUUUACUCUCCCUGUGCUGUUAAAGAAACCAACAAAUCUCAUGGGUUUGAAGGUGAGCCAUUGACAAGGUGGUAAAGGGUAGAGGGCCACAGGGUUAUAAAUGUGGGAGCAAUGACACCCCCAAAUAGGAUAAUUGUAAAAAAGCAUGAUUUGACUCAAAUUGGGGAAGCGACCAUCAACAUAAAAGAGGCAUCUUCUAAAGAGAGAAAAGUCAGGAAAGAGAACUUUGAGAACAUGGAACAAAUACUGUAGAUCUUUUCCUAUGGAGAAAGAUGGGAGGCACUAAGGGAGUAUCAUAGGACACAAGAAUUCUGUGAUAUCUUCAUAGGACCCAUGGCAAUGGCCAUCUGGCUGGUUGAGUGCAAGCAAGCGUGUGUGUGUGUGUGUGUGUGUGUGUUUUACUGAGUGGAAUGACCUCUCCAUUAACAAAGAUCUCCCUACCUCCCCACAAAACUCAUUCCAUCUUCAGUUGAGUCUGAUUUGUAGAAAGUUGUUUCUUCUAUGGGCUAAAAGAGAGAUCUUGAUAGCAUCUAGUCACUUGGCCUUGUUUUAUUUCCAGAAGCUGGAACAGUGAGUCUCUCUGACGUUGAAGAUGGCUCGUAUGCAUCUCUGGAAUCUCUUUUCUUCAUUCAUAAUGUCCAUUUCCCUUUGACAGUUUGAUAUCCAAAUCCUCCACCAUCAGAAGGUCCAUUGACCCAAGCCUAGGACUUCUGGAGCAGUCCUAGGUUCCCUUAGCUCUGUCUUCAAUGUCCGUCCCAGCUUCUCUGAUGGGAUUGCACUUCCUCGAUUGGCUCUUUCAUCACGUAAGAUAUGUAUACGUGUGUACACGCGCAGGCUUCAGCCUGCAGAUCACGUGGGCAAGGCCCACGUGCCAGUAUGCAAUAGAGUCGCUCUAGAGUCGACCUGCCGUCUCCACCAUUUCCAGACUGAGAAUGUCAGUUGCUCCCAGCUUUCUUUUUGAGAAGUUCGUAACGCUCGCAGCUCUGGCACCAUCAGUCAGUUGCUGCCAGUUGCAUUAAGGGCUUACUCUUGAACUUCCGCUAGCCAGUGUGGCUGCGUAACCUCACGCAACAGCCACAUCAGACAUCCGAUGGGCCAUUAGGCUCGGGGAAGAAAAUUCAGCAUGCGUUGCUAAAGGCGAAUUUGUCCCCACACAAGUAUCGCUUAAUGUGUCGAGCAGCUUCAUAGAGUUGGAAGGCAAUGGAUCUGGAAUCACGAGGAACUGAGUUCAGACUGUAAUUCUGCUGGCUUACUCUCUAGUGAACUUGGCUUUGGGAGGAUUCCAUUCGGUAAGCAUGUCAAAAUGUCUGGUAGAGAUGGUGCCACCUGGCCGUUGCCCGGUAAUUGUUACUAUGCUUAGUCCUUUUCAGGGGAUCCGGUUCUACAUUAUAUUUCUUGAGAUUCCUUGAGAAACCUCAGAGCAAAAUGUUUUCACGUCUUCGUCGGAAAUAGAGUUUCCUAGCGGAGAAGUACAUCCUGUUAUCCAGGACACCUGCCUGUCUACGCAUUUCCCUAAGCAGUGUAAUUACAACCACUGACGUGGUUUUUAUUCUUUGGGCAUACACUCGGUGUGGCUCCCCCCACUGCUCACAUCACCAGCUCCUGCACUUUGUGACUCUGAAUUAACUGCAGUGGAAUAAACAGAAGGUCGUGUGUCAUGUGGCCGAGGCUGAGGGAGCCUUCCUAAUGGGGGACUGAGCUGGGACUACUGAAUUCUCUAAGUUCUUGCAAACUGAAAAAAAAAAAAAAAAAAAAGCAAAUGCCACUUUUCGGUGAGGUGGAAAAUCUGGAGGAAGACCAAAAAAAUAAAUAAACAAAUAAGCGAAAUAGAUUUCAGUUUUUAUCCCAUACUUUCGUGGUCCAGCGGGAUUUAUCGCUCCAUAUAUCUGGUGUCUCACUUCAAGCGUCGUGGUACCUUACAAGCCCUCCGUUUGCCGUGGCUGAAGGUUCAGCCUCGCCACAAUCGAGAUGAAACUAGCCAAAAAUAAGGUAGGGGAUCCAACAUCAAGGAAAACUGAACGGAUACCCAAAAUGAUCCGAGACUCGCCGAAAGUAGGAAAAGAGCACUGAAUUCACCUCCUGUAUGGUGGCAGGCUUCAGUCCAGCCCCCCUCUGCCAAAUCCAAUAUUACCCACAAUUUGGAAUGACCCAGGCACCGUUCCAGAUGAACACAGGCAAAUGCUUCUAGUAGCGACCACGCUUCCCGUGCUCAGAAUCCGUCUCCUUGUAAAUGCCCCAUGUCGGUUCUCAUUUUGCUGCGUGAACCGUGUGGCAUAAAUUUGCUCCCUUUUCUGCAUGGCUGUUUGUCCCGUCAUGUGAAGCUGCUUUUAACACCUUGGUUUUGGCUUUCCUGAUGAAACGGGUGUGACUCUUUCCACUGCUCCUGAUGUGGUAGAUGAUUACCGGCCGUGUUCCUGGAACCCCAUCAGGAGACAGGACAGCAAGGCGGGAGCCGCGUGGACUUUCACCAAGGGACCGGCUCUUGGUGGCCUGCCAAGUUCCACCUGCUUUCACUCUUGGCCUCCCUGCCCUGCUCUGGAAUUGGUUUCUGCACUUUAUAGCUUUACGAGGACGUUAGUUCAAGCGCAUUCUCUGGCUCCGUCAUCUCCCGCUUCCCUCUGUUCCAUUUUGCCACCGGGAUCCUACUGGGACUUCCCGUAAUUGAUCCACUCGGACCCGACCCUGCCUACAACCUAGUGGGUUUUAAAUCACCGUAAGUUUUCAUUUGUUGUAAAUGCUUUGUUUUAGUUGUCCUACCCUCCUUGGCCUAUGAGCCAGAUAGACUUCCUCAUAACAGCAGGAAAGCAAAAUAAAUACCCCCUAUGUUGGUGAACCCAAGAUGCCCUUGAUUAUAAGAUAUACAAAUAUUUUAUGUAUCACACACACACACACACACACACACUCAAGGGGUGGUCAAGUAAACCAUGGCACCAUGCAGUCUAAUCACUUAGAAUUUUUAAAUAUUUUUUUAAUGUCUAUUUAUUUUUGAGAGAGACAGUGCAAACAGGG